rnacentral:rRNA from 1 species
CAGCAGCCACGGUAAUACGAAGGGUGCAAGCGUUAAUCGGAAUUACUGGGCGUAAAGCGUGCGUAGGCGGUUUGUUAAGUCUGUUGUGAAAUCCCCGGGCUCAACCUGGGAAUGGCAAUGGAUACUGGCAAGCUAGAGUGUGUCAGAGGAUGGUGGAAUUCCCGGUGUAGCGGUGAAAUGCGUAGAGAUCGGGAGGAACAUCAGUGGCGAAGGCGGCCAUCAGGGACAACACUGACGCUGAGGCACGAAAGCGUGGGGAGCAAACAGGAUUAGAUACCCCCGUAGUCCCUGUCUCUUAUAC